rnacentral:rRNA from 1 species
AUUGAACGCUGGCGGCAGGCUUAACACAUGCAAGUCGAACGAGUGGCGGACGGGUGAGUAAUGCUUGGGAAUCUGGCUUAUGGCGGGGGAUAACUACGGGAAACUGUCGCUAAUACCGCGUACCAUAGGAUGAGCCCAAGUGGGAUUAGGUAGUUGGUGGGGUAAUGGCCUACCAAGCCGACGAUCCCUAGCUGGUCUGAGAGGAUGAUCGGCCACACUGGGACUGAGACACGGCCCAGACUCCUACGGGAGGCAGCAGUGGGGAAUUUUGGACAAUGGGCGCAAGCCUGAUCCAGCCAUGCCGCGUGUAUGAAGAAGGCCUUCGGGUUGUAAAGGACUUUAAGUUGGGAGGCGUUACCAACAGAAUAAGCACCGGCUAACUUCGUGCCAGCAGCCGCGGUAAUAC